CCACAAAGUUACAUACAUGGUAACUUGUAAGCGGGCAAGAGGUGUAUGAAACAAAACACUCAUGUUAUAACAACCAUCAUUGCCACUCCCCCAAACCAGGCACGCCCUCUUACUUGAGUAGAUUCCUCGAUCGUUCCCGUUGCUCCAACAACUUCUCGUUGGUUGCAUCAAACCUCCCGAAGAUCGGAUCCUUGGAGUCGGGUUCGGCUUUGGGGAGCGGGAGUGGCUUGCUACGGAUCUGGUGAAGCCCACAAACCUGAGCCGAGAGAGCUUUCUGAUAUCUCGAUAUUUGGUCGGCUUUUGCUCGAAGGAAUUGUUCCCGUUGAGCUGCCAAACUGGGAAGAAGCAAAAAGAAGAGCAUCUUGCUCCAACUCCUUCCUCCUCCUCUCCUCCUCGAACGACACAGGAACAUUCCUCAUGGAGCGUUGCAUGCAGAGGUAACAGAGCUCUUGUCCCGCCCGAAGA